AGGUUGUGGCCUUGAGCCGUGGCUUUCGGAGCUAACGCGUUAAGUAGACCGCCUGGGGAGUACGGUCGCAAGAUUAAAACUCAAAUGAAUUGACGGGGGCCCGCACAAGCGGUGGAGCAUGUGGUUUAAUUCGAUGCAACGCGAAGAACCUUACCUACUCUUGACAUCCAGAGAACUUUCCAGAGAUGGAUUGGUGCCUUCGGGAACUCUGAGACAGGUGCUGCAUGGCUGUCGUCAGCUCGUGUCGUGA
rnacentral:rRNA from 1 species